UCCCCCGCCCUGUCGCCAGCCGCGUCGCUCCUCCGCCCCAUCGCCGGCCCUCCCCCUCGUCCACGGCCCGCCCCGUCGAGGUCCAGGUCCACGACGGAUCCGCCUACGCCGGCAUCUUCCACACCGCCUCCCUCGACGCCGGAUACGGUGAAUUUGUGUCUAUGCUCCGUGGCGUCGAGCUGUAAAUCUUCCGAUGCUAUUUUGUGCCAUAUGGGCAAACACUAAGUUCUGAGGAAGAGAUGUCAUAUGUGUACCAUAUGGACAAACACUCUACAUUCUAAAGGACGGGCAGAAGGUGCAUCCCCUGGAUUGUCUUACUUAACCUGGCAACAAAGAGAGGAGGUUGCAAACAAGCACGAAGGGGAAUACAUGUAUGCAUUUUUCCUGACUGAGGUAAUCCGUUGAUCUUAUCAUGUUAGUUUUCUUAUAUGUUACCACUCCCUUGUGUAGAUAAGUAUUCUGCUUCAGGUAUCAAGGAAAUUAAAUUUUCCGGAGGAAGUGCUUUCUUCAAUAUCAGAUUGCUAUAAAGGAUGAGAUGCUCCACACAUUUUGAGAGUUUAGAGGUUAGUUUCUAGCAGAGUUAGUGACGGAACUGAAAACUGUUUCAGUCGAGGUUGAGGAUAAAUCUUAUGCUGCCACAUGUUUAGAGUUUGUGAUAAGAACCAAAAUAUCAAGGUUUAAAAAGUGGAUGCUUCGAGUAUGAUAGAUCCUAUGUUUCUGUGUUAAUCUAUUUCAAAUAUCUUUAAUCAGAGUCAAAGCAUGACAUGUUAUGUCUUGGAUCAUGAGUGAAGUCCAAUGUUGACAUACAUUUAGUGUUUGCUGAUGGUUCUAGGUAGAACUGAAUUAGGCUAAUUAAUAAACAUGCUGAGUUUUGAAUGUUGAAUUCGAGUUAUAGAAGCAUCCAUAGACAUGAUACUGAGCUCUUUACAAUCAGCUCAUAUUCUGGUGAUUGCAACAAGAAAGUC